rnacentral:rRNA from 1 species
GGGUUGUGAGGUUAAGCGACUAAGCGUACACGGUGGAUGCCCUGGCAGUCAGAGGCGAUGAAGGACGUGCUAAUCUGCGAUAAGCGUCGGUAAGGUGAUAUGAACCGUUAUAACCGGCGAUUUCCGAAUGGGGAAACCCAGUGUGAUUCGUCACACUAUCAUUAACUGAAUCCAUAGGUUAAUGAGGCGAACCGGGGGAACUGAAACAUCUAAGUACCCCGAGGAAAAGAAAUCAACCGAGAUUCCCCCAGUAGCGGCGAGCGAACGGGGAGGAGCCCAGAGCCUGAAUCAGUGUGUGUGUUAGUGGAAGCGUCUGGAAAGGCGCGCGAUACAGGGUGACAGCCCCGUACACAAAAAUGCACAUACUGUGAGCUCGAUGAGUAGGGCGGGACACGUGGUAUCCUGUCUGAAUAUGGGGGGACCAUCCUCCAAGGCUAAAUACUCCUGACUGACCGAUAGUGAACCAGUACCGUGAGGGAAAGGCGAAAAGAACCCCGGCGAGGGGAGUGAAAAAGAACCUGAAACCGUGUACGUACAAGCAGUGGGAGCACGCUUCGGCGUGUGACUGCGUACCUUUUGUAUAAUGGGUCAGCGACUUAUAUUCUGUAGCAAGGUUAACCGAAUAGGGGAGCCGAAGGGAAACCGAGUCUUAACUGGGCGUUAAGUUGCAGGGUAUAGACCCGAAACCCGGUGAUCUAGCCAUGGGCAGGUUGAAGGUUGGGUAACACUAACUGGAGGACCGAACCGACUAAUGUUGAAAAAUUAGCGGAUGACUUGUGGCUGGGGGUGAAAGGCCAAUCAAACCGGGAGAUAGCUGGUUCUCCCCGAAAGCUAUUUAGGUAGCGCCUCGUGAAUUCAUCUCCGGGGGUAGAGCACUGUUUCGGCAAGGGGGUCAUCCCGACUUACCAACCCGAUGCAAACUGCGAAUACCGGAGAAUGUUAUCACGGGAGACACACGGCGGGUGCUAACGUCCGUCGUGAAGAGGGAAACAACCCAGACCGCCAGCUAAGGUCCCAAAGUCAUGGUUAAGUGGGAAACGAUGUGGGAAGGCCCAGACAGCCAGGAUGUUGGCUUAGAAGCAGCCAUCAUUUAAAGAAAGCGUAAUAGCUCACUGGUCGAGUCGGCCUGCGCGGAAGAUGUAACGGGGCUAAACCAUGCACCGAAGCUGCGGCAGCGACACUAUGUGUUGUUGGGUAGGGGAGCGUUCUGUAAGCCUGUGAAGGUGUACUGUGAGGUAUGCUGGAGGUAUCAGAAGUGCGAAUGCUGACAUAAGUAACGAUAAAGCGGGUGAAAAGCCCGCUCGCCGGAAGACCAAGGGUUCCUGUCCAACGUUAAUCGGGGCAGGGUGAGUCGACCCCUAAGGCGAGGCCGAAAGGCGUAGUCGAUGGGAAACAGGUUAAUAUUCCUGUACUUGGUGUUACUGCGAAGGGGGGACGGAGAAGGCUAUGUUGGCCGGGCGACGGUUGUCCCGGUUUAAGCGUGUAGGCUGGUUUUCCAGGCAAAUCCGGAAAAUCAAGGCUGAGGCGUGAUGACGAGGCACUACGGUGCUGAAGCAACAAAUGCCCUGCUUCCAGGAAAAGCCUCUAAGCAUCAGGUAACAUCAAAUCGUACCCCAAACCGACACAGGUGGUCAGGUAGAGAAUACCAAGGCGCUUGAGAGAACUCGGGUGAAGGAACUAGGCAAAAUGGUGCCGUAACUUCGGGAGAAGGCACGCUGAUAUGUAGGUGAAGCGACUUGCUCGUGGAGCUGAAAUCAGUCGAAGAUACCAGCUGGCUGCAACUGUUUAUUAAAAACACAGCACUGUGCAAACACGAAAGUGGACGUAUACGGUGUGACGCCUGCCCGGUGCCGGAAGGUUAAUUGAUGGGGUUAGCGCAAGCGAAGCUCUUGAUCGAAGCCCCGGUAAACGGCGGCCGUAACUAUAACGGUCCUAAGGUAGCGAAAUUCCUUGUCGGGUAAGUUCCGACCUGCACGAAUGGCGUAAUGAUGGCCAGGCUGUCUCCACCCGAGACUCAGUGAAAUUGAACUCGCUGUGAAGAUGCAGUGUACCCGCGGCAAGACGGAAAGACCCCGUGAACCUUUACUAUAGCUUGACACUGAACAUUGAGCCUUGAUGUGUAGGAUAGGUGGGAGGCUUUGAAGUGUGGACGCCAGUCUGCAUGGAGCCGACCUUGAAAUACCACCCUUUAAUGUUUGAUGUUCUAACGUUGGCCCCUGAUCGGGGUUGCGGACAGUGUCUGGUGGGUAGUUUGACUGGGGCGGUCUCCUCCUAAAGAGUAACGGAGGAGCACGAAGGUUGGCUAAUCCUGGUCGGACAUCAGGAGGUUAGUGCAAUGGCAUAAGCCAGCUUGACUGCGAGCGUGACGGCGCGAGCAGGUGCGAAAGCAGGUCAUAGUGAUCCGGUGGUUCUGAAUGGAAGGGCCAUCGCUCAACGGAUAAAAGGUACUCCGGGGAUAACAGGCUGAUACCGCCCAAGAGUUCAUAUCGACGGCGGUGUUUGGCACCUCGAUGUCGGCUCAUCACAUCCUGGGGCUGAAGUAGGUCCCAAGGGUAUGGCUGUUCGCCAUUUAAAGUGGUACGCGAGCUGGGUUUAGAACGUCGUGAGACAGUUCGGUCCCUAUCUGCCGUGGGCGCUGGAGAACUGAGGGGGGCUGCUCCUAGUACGAGAGGACCGGAGUGGACGCAUCACUGGUGUUCGGGUUGUCAUGCCAAUGGCACUGCCCGGUAGCUAAAUGCGGAAGAGAUAAGUGCUGAAAGCAUCUAAGCACGAAACUUGCCCCGAGAUGAGUUCUCCCUGACUCCCUGAGAGUCCUGAAGGAACGUUGAAGACGACGACGUUGAUAGGCCGGGUGUGUAAGCGCAGCGAUGCGUUGAGCUAACCGGUACUAAUGAACCGUGAGGCUUAACCUUACAACGCCGAAG